rnacentral:misc_RNA from 1 species
AAGUCGUAACAAGGUUUCCGUAGGUGAACCUGCGGAAGGAUCAUUAAAGAGAUAGGGUCUUCAUGGCCCGACCUCCAACCCUCUGUUGUUAUAACUACCUUUUGCUUUGGCUUGGGCAGGCAGUCCUGUCCGGUUCCUCCGGGUAGCCUCCGGACGCAGCCACUUAAAACCCCCCUUCCGGGGGGUUUUGGGGUUGGAGCGCCCCGCCAGAGUCCAAACCCAAAACUCUUGUAUUAAAACCAGUCGUCUGAGUAUAAAAUUUUAAUUAAAUUAAAA